GGACCUUCCUCUUGUUACUUUAUANGCAGGCUCCCCGCAAUGCUUCUCUCUCUGCCUCUGUCUCUGCCUCUCUCUCUCAAUCUCAUGAAUAAAUAAAUAAAAAAAAAUUAAAUCCUAUGUAUCUGAUUGGACCUUCCUCUUGUUACUUUAUAGAUUUUCUGCCUUCAGCUUUUUUGGCAGUAUAAUUAAUCCUCUCUUGAAGCUCUUUAUUCAUUUUAGUAAGUUAAAAGUUGCAGCCAGUUUGUAUGUGUAGCAGAAUAUUUAGACAUGACCACAGAUGGGAAGAAACAAAUAAUCAUAAGAGGUCAGUAGGGAGAGAAGAAGAGUUCUCAGAAGCCUGCAAAAUGUAUCGGGGCAAUGGAAUGGAGAACUUACCCUCCAUCCAAAACAAGGCUUGGAACUGGAGAUUUCCCUCACAGCGGUAGCUUGGUACCUGGCCAAACCCAGAGAAGUGAAAUUAGCACAUCUACCUGACAGAUUCCUUGCCUGGUACUUUCCCUGUAACAACCAGGAUUCAGAGGGUCUGCUGAUUUCUUCCUGUCAAACUAAGACUUCCUGUCAUCGCCUGGUUCACAGCGCUUGAAUCUUGAUUGGUAAGAUGGGUGG
rnacentral:lncRNA from 1 species